AGGCCAAGGGUGUGCCUUCCUGGAGUGAAGGACUUUCACAGCCCAGCUCUCUGGUAUGGACCCAAUGUCACUGACUACUGAUUCUGCUCAGGCCUCUGGAAAGCCCCUUUGGAAGUUGGGUGUAGCCAUGUGGCUUUCUUGAAUCAGUGAAAUGUGAGCAAAUUGAUGGUGUCGCUUCUGGGCAGAAGUGGUGAGAUCCAGGAAUCCGACAGGCCACCCACCCACUCCCUGCAUUCUCAUUUCCUGCCUUGAACCAGGCACCAGGCGGGGCAGUCACAGCUCAGCAAGGAGAAGCAGCAGGAUGAGGAGAUCUGGCAGCUGCAGAAGGAACAUGGGGCCUGCUCUCAUUCCUGCAGAUGGGAAGGAGAGAAGGAAAGGAUUCUGCAUGGGAAUUCUCAAGACACGGGCCUCCCAAACUUUUAGAGCUUCAUCUUAAGCAACACUACUGAAGUAUUUGUUACUCAUACCCACAUCUUUCAAAUGAGGAAAUUGGGGCACAGAUUGCUCAGGUGACUGGCGUAGAGUCACAGAGCUGGUGAUGGCUGAGUCCAGAUUACCACUGAGGUGGUCUGACUCCAAACCUACAGCACGGAGCAUGGUACAAUGUUUACUUUUGCCUGAAAGUGUUAAGAAAGGCUUACCACUGGAAGAGACAUCUGAGACCCUAGCAGGCAGACACACAAGUGGCUGUGGCUGGACAUCGUGAGGAACACAUGGGUGGAAGAAGACACAGAGGCAGCUGGACGUGGAGAGGAGCACAUCAGCGGAGGAACACACCAGCACACAGCAGCUGGAUGUUGUGAGGAAAGCACUGACAGGCACCAGCACGAUGGCAGGCCACUGACUGGCAGGACAACGGGGAGUUUGGCCAGGGCAGUUGGAGGGGAGCCCAGGCCUCCCAGCAGCCCAGGUCCAAGGGAAAACCAUCUCCCUUCUGGCUCCCUGAUGGGCAGAGAGGUACUUCCACUCAGUAAAAUCUUGCACUCAUUCUCCAAACCCAGGUGUGAUCCGAUUCUUCAGGUACACCAAGGCAAGAACCCAGGAUACAGAAAGACCUCUGACCUUGUGACAAGGUAGAGAGUCUAAUUGAGCUGGUUAACACAAUCUGCCUAUGGACAGCUAAACUAAAAGAGCAAAACUAAAAGAACACCCUGUAACACAGGCCCACUGGGGCUUCAGGAGCUGUAAACAUUCACCCCUAGACACUGCUGUGGGGUCAGAGCCCCACCACCUGCCCAUCUAUAUGCUCCCCUAGAGGUUUGAGCAGUGGAGUACUGAAGAAGCAAGCAAUUUCCCCUGUCACAUGCCCUGUUAGGGGGACAAAAGAACCUUUCCCAUUUCACUGUGUCUCUGUGCCUGGGCUCUGCUCUCUAUUCUGGGACAUUAGCCCAGUCCUUUCAGGAACCUAAUACAUUUCAGCAGUUGAUUGGAGGCCCAGGGUUCUGUGCCCUGGCUGCAUCUGAUAGGAGGGCAUCCCCUCCUCCAUUCCAUGAUGGCCCCACCACUCGCACCUCCAAUGCAGACCCAGACUCACCUGAGCUGUUGAAAUUGCUGUCUUGUUUUCUGGGAUUUUUAGUAGAACCAUCGCAGAAACAAUUGAAGUUACUCCUUAUUUUCUUAGAACUUUCAAGCAAAAUUUUAUUGUGUUUUUUAUUUGUUUGUUUAAUGGUAACUUUCUGAUACACCUUAUACUCUCAAAAAAGAAUUAGCACUUCUUCAUGAGGAUAGAAAGAGAAGUUUUUGAUUUUAACACCCAGGCAGGUUGUGAUGAUAAAUAGUGUCCCCUCUUCACCAAGAAAUGGUGGUGACACAGAUACAUUUCGAGAUGAAGAUGAUGAAGUAAAUUGCCCAAAUCAUACAUUCCCUUCCCCACUGUAAUCAAAUUUGGUUUUAGAGCCUCUGUAAACUCUGUUACAAUUCCCUGUAGUGAGAAGCUGAAGAGCACUUGUCAGAUAAUAAUGGAAGGCUUUAAACUGAAAGUUGUGUGAAUUUUGAAGGAAUUCUCUUACAGCUUUGUUACAAUCAUUUGCAGUGUUCCCAGUAUAGGCCACUAGAGCUGUUUCAUGGAAAUCACUGAGUUUUUCAGAAUAGCUUAUUUUGUUUUUGAGUUGCUUCCAUGUUUCCGACUUUUUCUAGUCAAUGUUUAAAUUUGUAUUCACUCUCAGUUCUUCUUUUAACAGCUGGGGCACCCUUUUCUCCAUUUCUUCAACACAACCCACGCACUGGUCAUCAAACACAUUGUCAGCCAUGUCCAGCUUGGCUGGCUGUCCCAGGCUGGUCACCUGUUAAGAAGGAGUAGAGGCCGGGUGUGAUGGCUCCCGCCUGUAAUUCUGGCACUUUGGGAGGCCGUGGUGGGUGGAUCACCUGAGGUCAGGAGUUCAAGACCAGCCUGGCCAAUAUGGUGAAACCCUGUCUCUACUAAAAAUACAAAAAAAAAAUUAGCUAGGCCUGGUGGCAUGCACCUGUAAUCCCAGCUACUCAGGAGGCUGAGGCAGGAGAAUCGCUUGAACCUGGGAGGUGGAGGUUGCAGUGAGCCCAGAUUGUGCCACUGCAUUCCAGCCUGAGCAACAGAGCGAGACUCCAUCU
rnacentral:lncRNA from 1 species